rnacentral:rRNA from 1 species
UAUGGUGAUUAUGAUAACAUAAGGGAAAAAAAUGAUGUUACCUUAUUAUUAGUGUUGUCCAAAACUGGUGCCAGAAGACUCGGUAAGACCAGAGACGCAAACGUUAGUCAUCUUAAUCAGGCGUAAAGGGUGUGUAGGCUGCUUUGAAAGUUUAAUUUUUUUAAUAGCUCUUUAACCGUAAUACUAAUUAUUUAUAUUUUUUUAAUGUAAAGAUAGUAUAUAAAAUUUAUUAUGUAAGUAUAAAUGAUAUUAAAAAAUAAAUAUCCGUGUUUCAGAAAAAAAAUAAAUGAAUUAAAGCUAGGAUCAAAUUGAGGAUAAGCCAAAUAAUACUUAGAGUAGGGGUUAAAUCCGCAGAUACUAAGGGGAAUACUAAAGGUGAAGACUUUUUAUCUACUAAUGAUUGACGCUGAGAAACGAAGGUGAGAAUAGGAAAUAGGAUUAGAUACCCAGAUACCUCUCACUGUCAACGAUGAAUGGUGGUUAGUCAGUUUUAUUAAAGACUGGUAACGAUGUUAACACGAUAACCAUUCCGCCUUGCGAGUACGGUUGCAAAACUGAAACCAAAAAAAUUAGUCGGUCUCGAAGCAAACGAAGUGAAGCAUGUUAUUU